rnacentral:rRNA from 1 species
ACUCCUACGGGAGGCAGCAGUGGGGAAUAUUGCACAAUGGGGGAAACCCUGAUGCAGCCAUGCCGCGUGUGUGAAGAAGGCCUUGGGUUGUAAAGCACUUUCAGUAGGGAGGAAGGUAGUGUAGUUAACACCUGCAUUAUUUGACGUUACCUACAGAAGAAGCACCGGCUAACUCCGUGCCAGCAGCCGCGGUAAUACGGAGGGUGCGAGCGUUAAUCGGAAUUACUGGGCGUAAAGCGCAUGCAGGCGGCCUGUUAAGUCAGAUGUGAAAGCCCGGGGCUUAACCUCGGAAUUGCAUUUGAAACUGGCAGGCUAGAGUCUUGGUAGAGGGGGUUAGAAUUUCAGGUGUAGCGGUGAAAUGCGUAGAG